UAUUAUGGACGAGCAAAGAAAGUGGUUUCUUGGCAUGGAGUCUACUCCUGGUGAAGGUGCUGUA
rnacentral:pre_miRNA from 1 species